CCUACGGGAGGCAGCAGUGGGGAAUUUUCCGCAAUGGGCGAAAGCCUGACGGAGCAACGCCGCGUGAGGGAUGAAGGCCUCUGGGCUGUAAACCUCUUUUAUCAAGGAAGAAGAUCUGACGGUACUUGAUGAAUAAGCCACGGCUAAUUCCGUGCCAGCAGCCGCGGUAAUACGGGAGUGGCAAGCGUUAUCCGGAAUUAUUGGGCGUAAAGCGUCCGCAGGCGGUCUUGUAAGUCUGUCGUUAAAGCGUGGAGCUUAACUCCAUUUCGGCGGUGGAAACUACAAGACUAGAGUGUGGUAGGGGCAGAGGGAAUUCCCGGUGUAGCGGUGAAAUGCGUAGAUAUCGGGAAGAACACCAGUGGCGAAGGCGCUCUGCUGGGCCAUAACUGACGCUCAUGGACGAAAGCUAGGGGAGCGAAAGGGAUUAGAUACCCCUGUAGUCCUAGCCGUAAACGAUGAACACUAGGUGUCGGGGGAAUCGACCCCCUCGGUGUCGUAGCUAACGCGUUAAGUGUUCCGCCUGGGGAGUACGCACGCAAGUGUGAAACUCAAAGGAAUUGACGG
rnacentral:rRNA from 1 species